UCUCAUCCACACUAGUAAUGCACGAUCCCUAAUUUCCAAAUACCUAAUUUUCCUCACCGGCUACCAGCUUAAUAGAUUUAUAUCCAAUAUUCCUCUUUAGAUAACCGUCGGAGUGAAAUCGGAGAGAAGAUGAUAGUGUGCGUUGUUGUCGUUGGUCAUUAGGCGAUGAACAGAACAAUCCUCUGUAAAUUCAGAGCUUCACCGACGUCAAUGAUUCUCUGAAACUCCACCACAUCGUGCAUUGCUCCUUCUAUGUCGUCGAUGAACAAGGAUGUAUGAUUUUGAUAGAAAUGGCACUAUGAGCUUUAAAGGUCCAGCAAUCCUUCUCUUACUUCAAGAGGUUCAAAUGAAUAUAUCGUGUGAUUGUUGACAUCAGUUAUGUGAGUUCCUUUGGCGUUGCUUGUGGAGUAUGAUGCAAGUGUAAUUAAGGGCAAGUAGGUCACAAUUUGUUUUUUAUGU